AGGAAAUUGUAAUGCAAGACGUCUGAUUUCCUGAUGCAAUGUGAACAUUUUGAUGAGAUGCCAAUCUGAGAAUUUUCU
rnacentral:sRNA from 1 species